UGGGNGCUCUCCCNUAUGGUCGACCUGCAGGCGGCCGCGAAUUCACUAGUGAUUAGAGUUUGAUCCUGGCUCAGAUUGAACGCUGGCGGCAGGCCUAACACAUGCAAGUCGAACGGUAACAGGAAGCAGCUUGCUGCUUUGCUGACGAGUGGCGGACGGGUGAGUAAUGUCUGGGAAACUGCCUGAUGGAGGGGGAUAACUACUGGAAACGGUAGCUAAUACCGCAUAACGUCGCAAGACCAAAGAGGGGGACCUUAGGGCCUCUUGCCAUCGGAUGUGCCCAGAUGGGAUUAGCUAGUAGGUGGGGUAACGGCUCACCUAGGCGACGAUCCCUAGCUGGUCUGAGAGGAUGACCAGCCACACUGGAACUGAGACACGGUCCAGACUCCUACGGGAGGCAGCAGUGGGGAAUAUUGCACAAUGGGCGCAAGCCUGAUGCAGCCAUGCCGCGUGUAUGAAGAAGGCCUUCGGGUUGUAAAGUACUUUCAGCGGGGAGGAAGGGAGUAAAGUUAAUACCUUUGCUCAUUGACGUUACCCGCAGAAGAAGCACCGGCUAACUCCGUGCCAGCAGCCGCGGUAAUACGGAGGGUGCAAGCGUUAAUCGGAAUUACUGGGCGUAAAGCGCACGCAGGCGGUUUGUUAAGUCAGAUGUGAAAUCCCCGGGCUCAACCUGGGAACUGCAUCUGAUACUGGCAAGCUUGAGUCUCGUAGAGGGGGGUAGAAUUCCAGGUGUAGCGGUGAAAUGCGUAGAGAUCUGGAGGAAUACCGGUGGCGAANGCGGCCCCCUGNNCGAAGACUGACGCUCANGUGCGAAAGCGUGGGAGCAAACAGGAUUAGAUACCCUGGUAGUCCACGCCGUANCGAUGUCNACNUGGANNUUGUGCCCUUGANGCGUNGNUUCCGGAGCUAACGCGUUAAGUCNACCGCCUGGGGNGUA
rnacentral:rRNA from 1 species